UGGCGACCGGCGCACGGGUGAGUAACACGUAUCCAACCUGCCGAUGACUCGGGGAUAGCCUUUCGAAAGAAAGAUUAAUACCCGAUGGCAUAGUUCUUCCGCAUGGUAGAACUAUUAAAGAAUUUCGGUCAUCGAUGAGGAUGCGUUCCAUUAGGUUGUUGGCGGGGUAACGGCCCACCAAGCCUUCGAUGGAUAGGGGUUCUGAGAGGAAGGUCCCCCACAUUGGAACUGAGACACGGUCCAAACUCCUACGGGAGGCAGCAUG
rnacentral:rRNA from 1 species